UACGUAGGGGGCGAGCGUUGUCCGGAGUUACUGGGCGUAAAGCGCACGCAGGCGGUCUGCUAAGUUUGGAGUGACAGUUGGUGGCUUAACUGCCAAAGUGCUUCGAAAACUGACAGACUUGAGGGCUUCAGAGGGACACGGAAUUCCGGGUGGAGUGGUGAAAUGCGCAGAUAUCAGGAGGAACACCGGUGGCGAAGGCGGGUCUCUGGGCCGUAACUGACGCUGAGGAGAGAAAGCGUGGGGAGCGAACAGG
rnacentral:rRNA from 1 species